rnacentral:rRNA from 1 species
CACGCAGGCGGAUCGUUAAGUCAGGGGUGAAAUCCCGAGGCUCAACCUCGGAACUGCCUCUGAUACUGGCGAUCUUCGAGUCCGGGAGAGGUGAGUGGAACUCCGAGUGUAGAGGUGAAAUUCGUAGAUAUUCGGAAGAACACCAGUGGCGAAGGCGGCUCACUGGCCCGGUACUGACGCUCAUGUGCGAAAGCGUGGGGAGCAAACA